AGGGCUGGGCUGGCAGGGCAAGUGCUGCAGAUCUUUGUCUAAGCAGCCCCUGCCUUGGAUCUCCCA
ensembl:miRNA MIR4498 microRNA 4498